rnacentral:rRNA from 1 species
CCUACGGGCGGCAGCAGUGAGGAAUAUUGGUCAAUGGCCGAGAGUCUGAACCAGCCAAGCAGCGUGAAGGACGACUGUGCCAAGCGUUGUAAACUUCUUUUAUCAAGGGACAAAGUCGGCCUCGAGAGCCUGACCGCAGGUACUGGAUGAAUAAGCAUCGGCUAACUCCGUGCCAGCAGCCGCGGUAAUACGGAGGGUUCGGGCGUUAUCCGGAUUUAUUGGGUUUAAAGGGUGCGUAGGCGGGACUUUAAGUCUGCGGUGAAAUCUCGUGGCUCAACCCUGGGAGUGCGGCGCAAACUGGAGGCCUUGAGAGCGCGGAAGGCAGGCGGAAUGCGUGGUGUAGCGGUGAAAUGCUUAGAUAUCGCGAAGAACCCCGAUUGCGAAGGCAGCAUGCCGGAGCGGUACUGACGCUGAGGCACGAAAGCGCGGGUAUCGAACAGGAUUAGAUACCCUUGUAGUC